rnacentral:rRNA from 1 species
GACGAACGCUGGCGGCGUGCUUAACACAUGCAAGUCGAACGGAAAGGCCCUGCUUUUGUGGGGUGCUCGAGUGGCGAACGGGUGAGUAACACGUGAGUAACCUGCCCUUGACUUUGGGAUAACUUCAGGAAACUGGGGCUAAUACCGGAUAGGAGCUCCUGCUGCAUGGUGGGGGUUGGAAAGUUUCGGCGGUUGGGGAUGGACUCGCGGCUUAUCAGCUUGUUGGUGGGGUAGUGGCUUACCAAGGCUUUGACGGGUAGGCGGCCUGGGAGGGUGACCGGCCACAUUGGGACUGAGGUACGGCCCAGACUCCUACGGGAGGCAGCAGGGGGGAAUAUUGCACAAUGGGCGGAAGCCUGAUGCAGCAACGCCGCGUGCGGGAUGACGGCCUUCGGGUUGUAAACCGCUUUCGCCUGUGACGAAGCGUGAGUGACGGUAAUUGGUAAAGAAGCACCGGCUAACUACGUG